UGUAAAAUUGGUUGAUGUUUUCGCCGCGACGAUUCGAAGUGAAACGAAGAAAUAAGUAGAAGCGAAGGUCCCCGAAGAGGUGAAUGAGGAUUUUACCACUAUGGACAUUUUAACAAUAUGCAGAAGGAGACGGGUCUGGAACUAGAAAGCUAGGCUCUGACUGGUCUACUACAGCAAGGAAUGUGCCAGCGGCCAAUCUGAUGAACAUGUGGCAGAAGAUUUGGCAGUGGGUGAAGAAAUACUGAGAUUGAAAUGCAACUACAGGUGGAGGCUUCACCCAAACUUUUCAGACAGACAUGAGAUGCAAAGUUACCCAAGUAUAAAUGGUUGAAGGUUUAGGAGAGCCAGACAAGAAGGCAUGAAAUGUGAUGUCACU